UUGAAAUCGAAACCGCAUCCGAAGGUUUCCGUAUUGCCUCCUCCUCUUCGUCUCUUCCCCUCUGGAUCGAGGAAAUGGAAGAAGUCCCAUCGAUGAGGAUCGCCGCAGGAAAGGAAGGGACCGAAGAAGCAGCUGGAGACACAGUGGUUCCGCCAAUGGUUGCGACAGAGACGAUUAAUCUUUCGGUGAAGAUGGCAAGGCUGACAUCGGAUGAGACGGAGAAAGGACAGACGGGCAAGAUCUUAAUUACGCUGUCGAUUUCCAAUUACGUUAGUAGGUAUCAAGACACAAACAUCAAAGGCACGAAGCCCCAUUGGGGGCGAAAGAAAUGUUUCAGCGCGAGCUUGAUAUCUCUUCGCUGGUUUAGGGAUAUCUGAAAUAACUCCAGAAACCUAUAAAAUCGUUUGAAUAAGGGGUGCGUCAUCCUAAAAACUUGGAAUAUCUGAUUGAGAAGGGUGGUUUACUUUCGGGAAAGAAGGUUACAGAAUCAGGCAAGCUCGGGAGCUUGGCAAAUGGCAGCUUCUCAUCGUCUUUAAAACGCCAUGGCAACUGCUGGUCCCAACUCACCAGAUAUUGAGUAUGUCGAUCUCAUUCACAAGUUUAUAUAUGUGUAUGUGUACAUAUAAUAGUGAUCCAAGAUAUAAAAUAUCAACAGGACAAAGUAAUCCGAUCAAGCCAAGGAAGAUGCAUGUUUGAUCGGAUUACCGGACUGAAAUCUUGAGUAAGCAUGUUCCCCCGAAGUCGUGAUCAGGUACGGGGAACACGUUUUAGGAUCUUACGGACAGCCGA